rnacentral:lncRNA from 1 species
GAGCCUUAGUUGAUAUUCUACUAAAUAUUGUUGUUGGAAAACGUUUUGAAUGAAAAGAAGUGCUAUUUUGAAUUAUCGAUAGUACUUCGUAACUAUUGUUCAGUUACUGAAGAUAUAUGAGUUCUAUGUUUCAAGCAUGUUGUUUAUUAGAAUUAUAGUACUUGCUGAGCUAGUCAUGCUCACUCUUGCUUGAACCAUAUGAACACAACCAAGAUCGAGCAGACCGAAGGCUCAGGCAAGGACAAGGGCAAGGCAAAGACGAACCCUUAGAUUGCUU